rnacentral:rRNA from 1 species
UCUGUAAGUUUUGGGUUAAAUCUUUGUGCUCAACGCAUGGGCUGCCGAAAAUACUGCAGAGCUNGGGAGUGGGAGAGGUAGACGGUACUCGGUUGGAAGGGGUAAAAUCCUUUGAUCUAUCGAUGACCACCUUUGGCGAAGGCCGUCUACCCNAACCCGUNCGACGGUGAGGGAUCAACGCUGGGGGAGCUAACCGGAUUACAUGCCCCGGUAGUCCCAGCUGUUAACGAUGCAGACUCGAUGCUGCAUUGGCUUAUUGCCAAUGCCGUGU